rnacentral:rRNA from 1 species
GACGAACGCUGGCGGCGUGCCUAAUACAUGCAAGUUGAGCGCUGAAGGUUGGUACUUGUACCAACUGGAUGAGCAGCGAACGGGUGAGUAACGCGUGGGGAAUCUGCCUUUGAGCGGGGGACAACAUUUGGAAACGAAUGCUAAUACCGCAUAAAAACUUUAAACACAAGUUUUAAGUUUGAAAGAUGCAAUUGCAUCACUCAAAGAUGAUCCCGCGUUGUAUUAGCUAGUUGGUGAGGUAAGGGCUCACCAAGGCGAUGAUACAUAGCCGACCUGAGAGGGUGACCGGCCACAUUGGGACGGAGACACGAAACAAACGGCUUCGGGAGGAAGCAGUAGGGAAACUUCGGCAAUGGACGAAAGUCUGACCGAGCAAAGCCGCGGGAGUGAAGAAGGUUUUCGGAUCGUAAAACACUGUUGGUAGAGAAGAACGUUGGUGAGAGUGGAAAGCUCAUCAAGUGACGGUAGAUACCCAGAAAGAGACGGCUAACUACGUG